GUGCUCACUUUGGCAGCACAUAUACUAAAAUUCAAACGAUACAGAGAAGAUUAGCAUGGCCCCUGCGCAAGGAUGACGUGCAAAUUUGUGAAGCGUUCCAUAUUUUC
ensembl:snRNA U6 U6 spliceosomal RNA